rnacentral:lncRNA from 1 species
GUGGAGAGUACCCUAUUUUUUUCAUAUAGAGAGAAUUUGCUUAGGUCGUUAGGAAUCUAUUAGAUUAUUAGUUUGUUAUAAUAGAAUGGCCAGUUGUAUGAAGAUUGUGGACUGUUUGUCCAUAUGGUGAUUAGCUGUAGUAUAGCUGGAAGACAGUUGUUGUAGAAUUGGACAAUAGCUGUAAUAGAGCUAUAGAAUAACUGUCUUUGUU